rnacentral:rRNA from 1 species
UCGACUGUUUACCAAAAACAUAGCUUUUUAAGAAAGUAAAAAGUGUAAUCUGCCCAGUGAUUAUACAGCAUAAUAAUAUAUUAUUAACUUAUAAUUAAACGGCCGCUGUAUUCUUGACGGUGAUAAUGUAGGAAAAUAAUUAGUCAAUUAAUUGUUGAACGUAGAUGAAUGAUUGAACGAAAUUUCCACUGUCUUAUUUAUAAUAUAUUGAAAUUAAUAUAAUAGUGAAGAAGCUAUUUAAAAUUGUAAGACGAAAAGACCCUGUAAAGCUUAACUAUAUAUAUUAAUAAUUUAUGCUAAUAUACGCAAUUAUAUUAGCACUAGAUUUAUUAAUUGGGUAGUUUGGUUGGGGCAACAACAUUUUAAAAUUAAAAAAUGUAUAUUAAAAUAAUAUUAUUAUUUAUUGUUUAAUUUAUACAUUUAACAAUUAUAAUUUAGAUAUAAUGACCUAUCUUUAUACUAUAAAAUUUUAUGAGAUAAUAAAUAAAUAAAAGUUACUUCAGGGAUAACAGGUUAAUUUUAUUUGAAAGAUGAUAUUAAAAAUAAAGUUUGACACCUCGAUGUUGAAUUAAGUUAUCCUAGUGUUGCAGCAGAUACUAAGGGUUGGUCUGUUCGACCAUUAAAAACUUACAUGAUUU